UCAAUAGAAAUCUAAUUCCCUCCUCUCAAAUAGCAUUAAUCUUCUUCCUCCAACCUCCUUUAACCUAAAACGGUUAUCUCAUCCUGUAACCCUUACCGAUCAAUCGAUCCUCACUCUUCCCUGAAAAAUGACUCAACUCCUCUCAAAUCGCCUUCACGAGUCUACCUUUGACCAUCACACAUCAACAGGUGUGUGGCGUGUUGAUUCUAUCAGCCUUCACCCGUAUCGUAUUCUUCAUCGUAGCUGUUGCAACCGUUCUACACCAGCAAUCGGCUCUCCUGGAUUACUUCGACUACAAUCACCUACAUCACCUUCCAAUCGACCUCUCUUACAUUGGAAAUAGUCAGGUGCAACCUAAGAAGUGUUUUAUGGAUCCAACAAUGGUUGUUUACUCCAGUGGUUAUAUUUUGACCCCUUAUUAUUAUGGAGGUAAUGAUGGGAUUACGAGUGAUUGGGCGUGACUACUCUAGAUAUGUAAAUCAUAAUGGAGUUAAUUUGGCUCAUCUAAGAACUUCAUUGACUUCACACCGUGGUCUAUACUCUGCUAAUGUCAUCGCUUCUAAAGGUGAGAUCACAACACCUGCAACUAUGGGCCAACAGCCUUUGACUGCUAGCACAAUUAAAGCAAUCUCUUUUAAAGGUUGAUCCCCUAUGUGUUGCUGCCAGACAAGAUGGGAAGAUAUUAGUCUCUAGUCUGUGGGUUGAUCACAGUUUUGAUGUCCGAGCGCCUAUGGAUACAACCUUGAUCAGUACACAAAUCUGAUUGGUUUUAGGUUACAUUAUGAAUCUAUUCAGGACUGAGUUAGUGGUUUGUAACCAAGUAUGUGCAUUUCUAUUUCAGGUAAUAUACGUACCGGUGAGAGAUUUGAAUGGGAUUCCAGGUGCAACGUCACUAGUUAUAUGUUUGACAAGAUAUCAACGUGAAGAUCGAGAGGACAUUAUGACCAUGGUUGAAUUGAUGGGGGCACAAGUUUCUAAACCGCUGAUUGCAACAAAGGUGGCUUUUUUACCGAACAAGAUAUUAAGAGCCUACCAUGUUUACAGGUGAUGGCAAUUCCGACAACUAGGGUAUUGAAAAAACCACCCAAUCUCUUUUGGCUGAAGAGCUUUAAGUGAUGUGAAAAGAAGUUGAGUAUAGUCAGUUGGCUGAUGUAGCGACAAUAAAUAGUAAGUGAUGGGAACUAUGAAGUGCAAGUAUGACUAAUAAGAAAACCUUAACACGAUGAUUAUUUAACGCGCAUGAAGAUUGUGAAAGAGAUUCAUGAACAUAAUGAAGUUUUGAGUAUUUAUUCAUACACUUGUUAGUAUAUUUGGGUUAUGUGUUUGAUCAUUAGACUUAGAUCGACACUUAUUAGACAUUUGGGAUCUUUGGAAGAUUGAUUGAACUUUUAAUUGAA